rnacentral:rRNA from 1 species
AGAGUUUGAUCCUGGCUCAGGACGAACGCUGGCGGCGUGCUUAACACAUGCAAGUCGAACGGAAAGGCCCUUCGGGGUACUCGAGUGGCGAACGGGUGAGUAACACGUGGGUGAUCUGCCCUGCACUCUGGGAUAAGCCUGGGAAACUGGGUCUAAUACCGGAUAGGACCACACACUUCAUGGUGAGUGGUGCAAAGCCUUUGCGGUGUGGGAUGAGCCCGCGGCCUAUCAGCUUGUUGGUGGGGUAAUGGCCCACCAAGGCGACGACGGGUAGCCGGCCUGAGAGGGUGACCGGCCACACUGGGACUGAGAUACGGCCCAGACUCCUACGGGAGGCAGCAGUGGGGAAUAUUGCACAAUGGGCGCAAGCCUGAUGCAGCGACGCCGCGUGAGGGAUGACGGCCUUCGGGUUGUAAACCUCUUUCAGUAGGGACGAAGCGAAAGUGACGGUACCUACAGAAGAAGGACCGGCCAACUACGUGCCAGCAGCCGCGGUAAUACGUAGGGUCCGAGCGUUGUCCGGAAUUACUGGGCGUAAAGAGCUCGUAGGUGGUUUGUCGCGUUGUUCGUGAAAACUCACAGCUUAACUGUGGGCGUGCGGGCGAUACGGGCAGACUAGAGUACUGCAGGGGAGACUGGAAUUCCUGGUGUAGCGGUGGAAUGCGCAGAUAUCAGGAGGAACACCGGUGGCGAAGGCGGGUCUCUGGGCAGUAACUGACGCUGAGGAGCGAAAGCGUGGGUAGCGAACAGGAUUAGAUACCCUGGUAGUCC